CCAAAUCCGGGUGGCAAUGGGAAGCCGUGAUGCGGAGCGAAAUAAAGUAGCGAAGUCCGUGAGCCAUGCGUCAAGAAAAGCCGCUAUCGUUUAUACCGUACCCGUACCGUAAACCGACACAGGUGGAUGAGGAGAGAAUCCUAAGGCCGGCGGAAGAAGCAUUGUCAAGGAACUCGGCAAAAUGGCCCCGUAACUUAGGGAUAAGGGGUGCCUGGGAAACCAGGCCGCAGAGAAUAGGCUCAAGCAACUGUUUAGCAAAAACACAGGUCUAUGCGAAACCGAAAGGUGAGGUAUAUGGGCUGACGCCUGCCCGGUGCUGGAAGGUUAAGAGGAGAGGUUAGCGGUAACGCGAAGCUUUGAAUUUAAGCCCCAGUAAACGGCGGCCGUAACGAUAACGGUCCUAAGGUAGCGAAAUUCCUUGUCGGGUAAGUUCCGACCCGCACGAAAGGCGUAAUGAUUUGAGCGCUGUCUCGACAAUGCAUCCGGUGAAAUUGAAGUACCAGUGAAGAUGCUGGUUACCUGCGUCAGGACGGAAAGACCCCAUGGAGCUUUACUCCAGUCUGGUACUGGGACUCGGUAUUGCAUGUACAGGAUAGGUGGGAGGCUAGGAGAUGGUAACGCCAGUUGCCAUGGAGCCGCUGUUGGGAUACCACCCUUGCAGUAUUGGGUUUCUAACCAGCCGCCGUGACCCGGCGGUGGGACAAUGCCAGACGGGGAGUUUGACUGGGGCGGUCGCCUCCGAAAGGGUAUCGGAGGCGCCCAAAGGUUCCCUCAGAAUGGACGGAAACCAUUCGAAGAGUGCAAAGGCAGAAGGGAGCUUGACUGCGACACCGACGGGUGGAGCAGGUACGAAAGUAGGGCUUAGUGAUCCGGUGGUAUUAAGUGGGAAUGCCAUCGCUCAACGGAUAAAAGCUACCCUGGGAUAACAGGCUUAUCACUCCCAAGAGUUCACAUCGACGGAGUGGUUUGGCACCUCGAUGUCGGCUCAUCGCAUCCUGGGGCUGUAGUAGGUCCCAAGGGUUGGGCUUUCGCCCAUUAAAGCGGUACGCGAGCUGGGUUCAGAACGUCGUGAGACAGUUCGGUCCCUAUCCGGCGUGGGCGUAGGAUAUCUGAGAGGAGCUGUCCUUAGUACGAGAGGACCGGGAUGGACGGGCCGCUGGUGCAUCGGUUAGACUGCCAAGUCUACGGCCGAGUAGCCAAGCCCGGAAGGGAUAAACGCUGAAGGCAUCUAAGCGUGAAGCCCCCCUUAAGAUGAGAUAUCCCAUUCGUUAAGAAGUAAACCCCCUUGAAGACGACGAGGUAGAUAGGGCAGAGGUGGAAGUGCAGUAAUGCAUGGAGCUGACUGUUACUAAUCGGGUGAGGGCUUGAUC
rnacentral:rRNA from 1 species